CUCGUAGGUGGCCAACUAAGUCAGACGUGAAAUCCCUCGGCUUAACCGGGGAACUGCGUCUGAUACUGGAUGGCUUGAGUGUGGGAGAGGGAUGCGGAAUUCCAGGUGUAGCGGUGAAAUGCGUAGAUAUCUGGAGGAACACCGGUGGCGAAGGCGGCAUCCUGGACCACGACUGACGCUGAGUGAGCGAAAGCCAGGGGAGCAAACGGGAUUAGAUACCCCGGUAGUCCUGGCCCUAAACGAUGAAUGCUUGGUGUGACGGGUAUCGAUCCCUGUCGUGCCGAAGCUAACGCAUUAAGCAUUCCGCCUGGGGAGUACGGUCGCAAGGCUGAA
rnacentral:rRNA from 1 species